CAUAUGAUUAUUGGUGUACUUCUCAUGAAAUUGCCUGUUUAUUUAUACAUAUUGAUCGUUAAAUAUAUAGUUCAUGCUUGCAUUUAUAGUCUGUUCAUUCUAUCUAACUAUCCCGUUGGGGUAGCCCAUAUGUGUUGCCCCCUCUCCCGCAACAUAUAUUUUUGGCGGCCA